GUAGCUCCGUUGGUAGAGCAUGAGGGCCUUAAUCUCAGGGUUGUGGGUUCAAGCGCCACACU
rnacentral:tRNA from 1 species